AAAUGAAUUGACGGGACCCCGCACAAGCGGUGGAUCAUGUUGUUUAAUUCGAGGAUACGCGAAGAACCUUACCAGGCCUUGACAUACCUUGCAAAGCUAUGGAGACAUAGUGGAGGAUAACAGGGAUACAGGUGGUGCAUGGUUGUCGUCAGCUCGUGUCGUGAGAUGUUGGGUUAAGUCCCGCAACGAGCGCAACCCUCAUUGCUAGUUGCCAUCAUUAAGUUGGGGACUCUAGCGAGACUGCCAGUGACAAACUGGAGGAAGGUGGGGAUGACGUCAAAUCAUCAUGCCCCUUAUGGCCUGGGCUACAAACGUGAUACAAUGGCUGAAACAAAGAGCAGCGAAAGGGUGACCUGAAGCAAAACUCAUAAAAGCAGUCUCAGUUCGGAUUGAAGUCUGCAACUCGACUUCAUGAAGUCGGAAUCGCUAGUAAUCGCAGAUCAGAAUGCUGCGGUGAAUACGUUCCCGGGGUUUGCACACACCGCCCGU
rnacentral:rRNA from 1 species